GGUGAACGCUGGCGGCGUGCCUAACACAUGCAAGUCGAGCGGUGCAGUUUGAAGCUUCGGUCGGAAAGCUGCAUAGCGGCGGACGGGUGAGGAAAACGUAGGAACGUGCCCCUUGGAGUUGGAUAGCCACGGGAAACUGUGGGUAAACCGACAUAGACUCGAGAGAGUAAAGGCCGAAAGGCGCCAAGGGAGCGGCCUGCGGCCCAUCAGGUAGUUGGUAGUGUAAAGGACUACCAAGCCGACGACGGGUAGCCGGUCUGAGAGGAUGGCCGGCCACAAGGGCACUGAGAGACGGGCCCUACUCCUACGGGAGGCAGCAGUGGGGGAUUUUGGACAAUGGGCGAAAGCCUGAUCCAGCGACGCCGCGUGGAGGACGAAGCCCUUCGGGGUGUAAACUCCUUUUCUCAGGGAAAAAGGAUGAUGGUACCUGAGGAAUAAGCCCCGGCUAACUACGUG
rnacentral:rRNA from 1 species